GAUGAACGCUGGCGGCGUGCCUAAUACAUGCAAGUCGAGCGAACGGACGAGAAGCUUGCUUCUCUGAUGUUAGCGGCGGACGGGUGAGUAACACGUGGAUAACCUACCUAUAAGACUGGGAUAACUUCGGGAAACCGGAGCUAAUACCGGAUAAUAUUUUGAACCGCAUGGUUCAAAAGUGAAAGACGGUCUUGCUGUCACUUAUAGAUGGAUCCGCGCUGCAUUAGCUAGUUGGUAAGGUAACGGCUUACCAAGGCAACGAUGCAUAGCCGACCUGAGAGGGGGGGCGGGCACACUGGAAAAGGGACACGGUGCCGACCCCCACGGGGGGGGACGGUAGGGAAUUCUCCGCAAAGGGGGGAAGGCCGGCGGGGCCAACCCGGGGGAGGGGUGGAGGUCUUUGGGUCCGUAAAAUCUGUUAUUUGGGAAAAAAAAAUGUGUAAAUAACUUUGCACGUCUUGGGGGUAACUAAUCAGAAAGCCCCGGGUAAACAACUG
rnacentral:rRNA from 1 species